rnacentral:rRNA from 1 species
UUAUGGCGUCAGGAUGAACGGCUGGCGGCGUGCCUAACACAUGCAAGUCGAACGAAGCACUGCAGACGGAGAUUCGUCGAAGCCUGCUUUGACUUAGUGGCGGACGGGUGAGUAAUGUGUGAGCAACCUGCCUUUCAGAGGGGGACAACAGUUGGAAACGACUGCUAAUACCGCAUAACGUAUUCUGGUGGCAUCACCGGGAUACCAAAGGAGCAAUCCGCUGAAAGAUGGGCUCACAUCUGAUUAGCUUGUUGGUGAGGUAACGGCUCACCAAGGCUGCGAUCAGUAGCCGGACUGAGAGGUUGAACGGCCACAUUGGGACUGAGAUACGGCCCAGACUCCUACGGGAGGCAGCAGUGGGGAAUAUUGGGCAAUGGGCGAAAAAGCCUGACCCAGCAACGCCGCGUGAAGGAAGAAGGUCUUCGGAUUGUAAACUUCUUUUAUGAGGGACGAAGGACGUGACGGUACCUCAUGAAUAAGCCACGGCUAACUACGUGCCAGCCGCGGC